rnacentral:tRNA from 1 species
AGGAUAAUAGUUUAAAGAAAACAUUUAACUUGCACUUAAAAAAUACUUUUAAAAGUUUAUCUUA